rnacentral:rRNA from 1 species
UACGAAGGGGGUUAGCGUUGCUCGGAAUCACUGGGCGUAAAGGGUGCGUAGGCGGGUCUUUAAGUCAGGGGUGAAAUCCUGGAGCUCAACUCCAGAACUGCCUUUGAUACUGAAGAUCUUGAGUCCGGGAGAGGUGAGUGGAACUGCGAGUGUAGAGGUGAAAUUCGUAGAUAUUCGCAAGAACACCAGUGGCGAAGGCGGCUCACUGGCCCGGUACUGACGCUGAGGCACGAAAGCGUGGGGAGCAAACAGG